rnacentral:rRNA from 1 species
UACAGAGGCCCCAAGCAUUAUCCGGAAUCACUGGGCGUAAAGGGUGUGUAGGCGGUUGUAUUAGUCUUUCGUGAAAGGCCGUGGGCUUAACCCAUGGACCGCGGGAGAAACGGUACAACUAUUGAGGAUGCGAGAGGUAAAGGGAACUCAUGGUGUAGGGGUGAAAUCCGUUGAUAUCAUGGGGAACACCAAAUGCGAAGGCACUUUACUGGCGCACUCCUGACGCUGAGACACGAAAGCGUGGAUAGCG